UGGCAGUUGAGAGGGAGUUCACGGCCAAGCUGAGGCUCAGCAUUGUCAAGACAGAUCUUCAUAACAGGAAUGUAUGAAGACUGGGAACUGUGUGUCAAAAACAGCUCCUAAUGGAAACUUAACAAGCAAUUUUAAAAGCAGCAGAACAUGAGAAUUGGGACAACUGCUGACCUAUUGAUGCACCAUUACCAGCUAGAAACUACUCCUCCCAUAUCAAUCAAGUAAAGUACAUUUCAUUAGUCUAGUAAAUACUGUACCGCUCAAUUGCCUUCUUCCUAUGUAAUUAAACAUAGCUGGUUUCCUUCUCCUUACUUAUUUGUCCUUAUCUUUCCUCUUGUUUAUUGCAAAUAAACU